AGCAGCCGCGGUAAUUCCAGCUCCAAUAGCGUAUAUUAAAGUUGUUGCAGUUAAAAAGCUCGUAGUUGAAUUUCGGGGUUAGUAGGUUGGUCGUGCCUAUGGUAUGCACUGGCUUUACUGAUUCCUCCUUCUUGAAGAACUGUAAUGUCAUUAAUUUGGUGUUGCAGGGAAACAGGACUGUUACUUUGAAAAAAAUUAGAGUGUUUAAAGCAGGCUAACGCUUGAAUACAUUAGCAUGGAAUAAUAAAAUAGGACGUUUGAUCCUAUUUUGUUGGUUUCUAGGAUUGACGUAAUGAUUAAUAGGGAUAGUUGGGGGCAUUAGUAUUCAAUUGUCAGAGGUGAAAUUCUUGGAUUUAUUGAAGACUAACUACUGCGAAAGCAUUUGCCAAGGAUGUUUUCAUUAAUCAAGAACGAAAGUUAGGGGAUCGAAGACGAUCAGAUACCGUCGUAGUCUUAACCAUAAACUAUGCCGACUAGGGAUCGGAUGAUGUUAAUUUUUUAAUGUACUCAUUCGGCGCCU
rnacentral:rRNA from 1 species